rnacentral:ncRNA from 1 species
UUUAUCAAGAGUGGUGGAGGGAACGGCCCUGUGAAGCCCGGCAGCGUACAGCUUUCUUGGGGAAGGCUGGGAUGUGCCAAUUCCGGCAGACAUUGGUCUGGUAGAUAAGU